rnacentral:tRNA from 1 species
GGUUCCAUAGCUCAGCUGGAUAGAGCAACUGCCUUCUAAGCAGUAGGUCAUUGGUUCGAACCCAAUUGGAAUCA